GGAAUUCUGAAAUGGGAGUCUAGUGUAUUUAUAUUGACAGAUUUGAGAUUAAUAGCUUACCUUCUUUGUAUGUUCUCCACAAGUUCAAACACAAACCAAUUUUAUGAAACCUAGACACGAUAAGAAGUACAAACUAUCUUCAUGUACAUUGUGAUCGAUAAACGAACACAACAUUAAUCUAAGAAUCCAUAAUUUGACAAGAACAAACGCGUCUAUAGGUUUUGAAAGUUGAAAAGAUACUGUCUUUAAGCAGUUGGCCAAGUUUUGGUCAUCUUUCAAACAGGAGGAUCUUCCAGUUUAGCAGUCGAUAAAUCAGUUAUGCGCGGAAACACAGCUUUUUCACCAAGCUGAUUCUGUGCCCAUAUUAACAUCUUCAAUAGGCUUGGAAGCUUUGGAUCCUUUUCAUGGCUUUGGCUGGUGAGAAUUGCAGCAUUGACCUCACUAGCGGUCUUUAGCCGCUGUGAUACAUCCAGGAGCUCUCCAACAGGGCAGUUGGACACGUCUUCAAAGGCCAACAAUGCAACAGUCUUCUCCAACUCUUCUAAGAAGCUUUGAUUUUCUUCUCCCCUUGGAGCGAGCUCCUCUUGAGCAAACUCCAAAGCCUCCUCAAUCUUUCCAUUCCUUAUCAACUCUAUCAGCCUUUGUUGCUGGAGGUGGAAAAAGAGCUGGGGGUUUGUAUCCAGUAUCUCAGGAUUCAAAUCAUUAACCUUCUCAAUUGCAUCCUCUACAUUACCAGCCUGUACUGCCUUUUUAACCGCCAUUCUAUCAGUGAUAGUAGCAAGAUCUAUAUCAGGAUCUGUUCCAGAUUCUUUUCUGAACUUUUCUGCUGCUUCAACAUAACCCUCUGUGACCAAAAAGUUCAUCACUAACUUAUUCAUAUCUUCUUUUCUAAUUUUUACAUCAUUGAGCCUUUUCUCCCACUCUUCUCUCGUGAUUACUUUCUUUGAUGUUGCCAUGGCUUCGAUUUCUGCUAAUUCGCGAAUCACAAUCCAGAACAAUGACAUCAGUAUUCAAAACUACGCCUUGAGACCCAUUAACACCACCGGAGCAAUCGUCGGAGUUCCUUUUACCGGUUCC
rnacentral:misc_RNA from 1 species